CCUUCGAUAGCUCAGUUGGUAGAGCGGUGGACUGUAGUUGGAAAGUUAAAAAUAUACGGACAUCCAUAGGUCGCUGGUUCGAAUCCGGCUCGAAGGA
rnacentral:tRNA from 1 species